UAUUCUUUUUUUUUUUUUUUUUUCCCCCUUUUUAAGGAUUUGAAAGAAAAGAAGGAAGUUGUGGAAGAAACAGAAAAUGGCAGGGAUGCUCCCGCCAACGGCAAUGCCGAGAACGAGGAAAAUGGCGAGCAGGAGGCGGACAACGAGGUAGAUGAUGAAGAGGAAGAGGUUGGCGACGAAGAGGAGGAUGAGGAAGAAGGUGAC